GACGAACGCUGGCGGCGUGCUUAACACAUGCAAGUCGAACGGAAAGGCCCUGCUUGCAGGGUACUCGAGUGGCGAACGGGUGAGUAACACGUGGGUGAUCUGCCCUGCACUUCGGGAUAAGCUUGGGAAACUGGGUCUAAUACCGGAUAGGACCGCACUUUAGUGUGUGUGGUGGAAAGUUUUUUCGGUGUAGGAUGAGCUCGCGGCCUAUCAGCUUGUUGGUGGGGUAAUGGCCUACCAAGGCGGCGACGGGUAGCCGGCCUGAGAGGGUGUACGGCCACAUUGGGACUGAGAUACGGCCCAGACUCCUACGGGAGGCAGCAGUGGGGAAUAUUGCACAAUGGGCGCAAGCCUGAUGCAGCGACGCCGCGUGGGGGAUGAAGGCCUUCGGGUUGUAAACUCCUUUCGCUAGGGACGAAGCUCUUUGUGACGGUACCUAGAUAAGAAGCACCGGCUAACUACGUG
rnacentral:rRNA from 1 species